rnacentral:rRNA from 1 species
CUACGGGGUGCAGCAGUGGGGAAUAUUGGACAAUGGGCGCAAGCCUGACCCAGCAACGCCGCGUGAGGGAAGAAUGUCUUCGGAUUGUAAACCUCUGUCCUUGGGGACGAAAAAAAUGACGGUACCCAAGGAGGAAGCUCCGGCUAACUACGUGCCAGCAGCCGCGGUAAUACGUAGGGAGCAAGCGUUGUCCGGAAUUAUUGGGCGUAAAGGGUGCGUAGGCGGCGCUGUAAGUCAGAUGUGAAAUCCCCGGGCUUAACUCGGGAGUUGCAUUUGAAACUACAGUGCUUGAGUAAAGAAGGGGUAAGUGGAAUUCCUAGUGUAGCGGUGGAAUGCGUAGAUAUUAGGAGGAACACCAGUGGCGAAGGCGACUUACUGGUCUUUUACUGACGCUGAGGCACGAAAGCGUGGGGAGCAAACAGGAUUAGAUACCCCGGUAGUC